rnacentral:rRNA from 1 species
AUGGCGUCAGAAAGGUCGAUCUUGUGUCUGCUCGUGCUUCUUCUUCUCUGUGCCGUUUCUCUGGCUGCUUCGCCACGCUUCCUCUCCGUCAGCCUCGACAGGCUGAUCAACUCCAAGCCUCACGUCGACUGCCCUCCCUUCAUGUCCCCCGCCGCAAGUUCCGGCAACAAGAUCCCUAUCCGUCAUCCCUGCGUCUGCCCGCCAUAUUGCGGCGGGACAAAGCAGACGAGGCGCGACAUCCAUGGCCAUGACAAAGCCCGGCUGAGCACCCUACGCCAGAGGUCGCUCGUCCCCGCGCCAGCUGCAGCGCCCAUUCCAGCAGAGGCGCCAUCCGUCAGCAUCCCGGAUCACUCAGGGGAUUUCCUCGAGUCGCCGGAGUUCAUUGUCGUUGUCGGCUUCGGAACACCGGCUCAGCCAUCUUCCGUCAUGUUUGACACCGGCAGCGACAUGUCGUGGAUCCAGUGCAAGCCGUGCUCCGGCUACUGCCAUCCGCAGCAUGACCCCGUCUUCGACCCCACCAAAUCCACCACCUAUGUUGCCGUGCCCUGUGGCCAACCAUUGUGCUCACAUACCGGCAGCAAGUGCAACGGCACCACCUGCCUAUACUCCAUGGACUAUGUCGAUGGCUCGUCCGAAUGGAGUACAUCUGGCAUCCUCUCCCAGGACACGUUGACGCUCACUUCCUCAACCAAGCUGUCCAGCAUCCCGUUCGGAUGCGGCCAGCAAAACCUGGGGAAGUUUGGCUACGUCGACGGGCUGCUCGGCCUUGGCCGUGGCAAACUCUCACUGUCUUCACAAGCAGGUCAUUCGUUCGGCAGCACCUUCUCCUACUGUCUACCGUCCGACAACAGCACGACCGGGUACCUCAGCAUCGGCUCGACGCCGGUCUCCAACCAAGUAGUCCAGUACACGGCGAUGAUACAGAAGUCUAGCUACCCAUCAUUGUACUUCGUCGAGCUCGUCUCCAUCAACAUCGGUGGUUACAUCCUGCCGGUGCCACCCUCCAUAUUCACGAGCACCGGCACCGUCUUGGACUCCGGCACCAUCCUUACGCAUCUACCUGGGCAGGCAUACACCGCGCUUCGCGACCGGUUCAAGUUCACCAUGCAAGGGAGCAAAACAGCGCCGCCGCAAGAAAAUCUCGACACGUGCUAUGACUUCGCCGGCCAGAGUGGAAUCUUAAUACCGGCGGUGUCACUCAUAUUCAGUGAUGGCGCGGUUUUCGACCUUAACUUCUAUGGGAUCUUGAUCUUCCCACAGCCGACCAUCGGCUGCCUCGCGUUCAUGCCGCGGCCGGCGUCGACACCAUUCUCCAUCAUCGGCAAUACGCAGCAGCGGUCGACCGAGGUGAUAUACAACGUUGCCGCGGAGAAGAUCGGUUUUGUCCCCAACAGUUGUUGA